CACUGCCGAGAAAAGCCUCUAGAUAGAAAAUAGGUGCCCGUACCGCAAACCGACACAGGUAGUCAAGAUGAGAAUUCUAAGGUGAGCGAGCGAACUCUCGUUAAGGAACUCGGCAAAAUGACCCCGUAACUUCGGGAGAAGGGGUGCUCUUUAGGGUUAACGCCCAGAAGAGCCGCAGUGAAUAGGCCCAAGCGACUGUUUAUCAAAAACACAGGUCUCUGCUAAACCGUAAGGUGAUGUAUAGGGGCUGACGCCUGCCCGGUGCUGGAAGGUUAAGAGGAGUGGUUAGCUUCUGCGAAGCUACGAAUCGAAGCCCCAGUAAACGGCGGCCGUAACUAUAACGGUCCUAAGGUAGCGAAAUUCCUUGUCGGGUAAGUUCCGACCCGCACGAAAGGCGUAACGAUUUGGGCACUGUCUCAACGAGAGACUCGGUGAAAUCAUAGUACCUGUGAAGAUGCAGGUUACCCGCGACAGGACGGAAAGACCCCGUGGAGCUUUACUGUAGCCUGAUAUUGAAAUUCGGCACAGCUUGUACAGGAUAGGUAGGAGCCUUUGAAACGUGA
rnacentral:rRNA from 1 species